rnacentral:rRNA from 1 species
GACGAACGCUGGCGGCGUGCUUAACACAUGCAAGUCGAACGAUGAACCACUUCGGUGGGGAUUAGUGGCGAACGGGUGAGUAACACGUGGGCAAUCUGCCCUUCACUCUGGGACAAGCCCUGGAAACGGGGUCUAAUACCGGAUAACACUGUCACGGGCAUCUGUGGUGGUUAAAAGCUCCGGCGGUGAAGGAUGAGCCCGCGGCCUAUCAGCUUGUUGGUGAGGUAAUGGCUCACCAAGGCGACGACGGGUAGCCGGCCUGAGAGGGCGACCGGCCACACUGGGACUGAGACGCGGCCCAGACUCCUACGGGAGGCAGCAGUGGGGAAUAUUGCACAAUGGGCGAAAGCCUGAUGCAGCGACGCCGCGUGAGGGAUGACG